GAUGAACGCUGGCGGCGUGCCUAAUACAUGCAAGUCGAGCGAACAGACGAGGAGCUUGCUCCUCUGACGUUAGCGGCGGACGGGUGAGUAACACGUGGAUAACCUACCUAUAAGACUGGGAUAACUUCGGGAAACCGGAGCUAAUACCGGAUAAUAUAUUGAACCGCAUGGUUCAAUAGUGAAAGACGGUUUUGCUGUCACUUAUAGAUGGAUCCGCGCCGCAUUAGCUAGUUGGUAAGGUAACGGCUUACCAAGGCGACGAUGCGUAGCCGAGCUGAGAGGGUGAUCGGCCACACUGGAACUGAGACACGGUCCAGACUCCUACGGGAGGCAGCAGUAGGGAAUCUUGCGCAAUGGGCGAAAGCCUGACGGAGCAACGCCGCGUGAGUGAUGAAGGUCUUCGGAUCGUAAAACUCUGUUAUUAGGGAAGAACAAAUGUGUAAGUAACUAUGCACGUCUUGACGGUACCUAAUCAGAAAGCCACGGCUAACUACGUG
rnacentral:rRNA from 1 species